AUCUUACCUCAAACAAGCCAUUCUUUCGUUCCAGUUUACCGUUGUGCCAUCGCCAGAAGUAGAUGUGUUCUCUUCCACAAGAUAUGAUGGUCUUGUUAUCUUCAGGAUCAAACAUUACUACUGACACUGGACUGGAGAAUUCCUAAUUUGCAAAACGCUGUUAGCUUAAGAUGUUAAGCCUGAAGUUGUCUCCGCUACUAUCUAUACCUGCCAGUAUAUCGCCAUUAUCCUGAAGACAAAAGACGGUUCGCCAUCUUGAAAUCAAAGUCCGUCAUCUUGAGAUCAAAGGAAACCUCAUCGAAUGUGUAAUUUUUUACUACUGAAAAUA